UGAGGAAUAUUGCGCAAUGGGGGCAACCCUGACGCAGCAACGCCGCGUGGGUGAUGAAGGCCUUCGGGUCGUAAAACCCUUUUCUGAGGGACGAGCAAGGACGGUACCUCAGGAAUAAGUCCCGGCUAACUACGUGCCAGCAGCCGCGGUAAAACGUAGGGGGCAAGCGUUAUCCGGAUUUACUGGGCGUAAAGCGCGUGCAGGCGGCUUGGUAGGUUGGACGUGAAAGCUCCUGGCUCAACUGGGAGAGGCCGUUCAAUACCGCCAGGCUUGAGGGUGGAAGAGGAGAGCGGAAUUCCCGGUGUGGUGGUGGAAUGCGUAGAUAUCGGGAGGAACACCUGUGGCGAAGGCGGCUCUCUGGUCCAUAUCUGACGCUAAGACGCGAAAGCGUGGGGAGCGAACGGGAUUAGAUACCCCGGUAGUCCACGCUGUAAACGAUGGAUGCUAGGUGUGGGUGGUAUUGACCCCAUUCGUGCCGUAGCUAACGCGUUAAGCAUCCCGCCUGGGGACUACGGCCGCAAGGUUA
rnacentral:rRNA from 1 species